CACGUAGGGGGCAAGCGUUGUCCGGAUUUAUUGGGCGUAAAGAGCUCGUAGGCGGCUCAGCAAGUCGGGUGUGAAACCUCCAGGCUCAACCUGGAGACGCCACCCGAUACUGCUGUGGCUAGAGUCCAGUAGGGGAGCGUGGAAUUCCUGGUGUAGCGGUGAAAUGCGCAGAUAUCAGGAGGAACACCAGCGGCGAAGGCGGCGCUCUGGGCUGGAACUGACGCUGAGGAGCGAAAGCGUGGGGAGCGAACAGG
rnacentral:rRNA from 1 species